CCUACGGGCGGCAGCAGUGAGGAAUAUUGGUCAAUGGCCGGGAGGCUGAACCAGCCAAGUCGCGUGAGGGAAGACGGCCCUACGGGUUGUAAACCUCUUUUGUCAGGGAGCAAGGUGCAGGUCGGGACCUGCUGUGAGAGUACCUGAAGAAAAAGCAUCGGCUAACUCCGUGCCAGCAGCCGCGGUAAUACGGAGGAUGCGAGCGUUAUCCGGAUUUAUUGGGUUUAAAGGGUGCGUAGGCGGUAUUUUAAGUUAGUGGUAAAACGUCGGGGCUUCACCUUGAUUGGCCAUUAAAACUGGAGUACUAGAGUACAGACGAGGUAGGCGGAAUAAGUUAAGUAGCGGUGAAAUGCUUAGAUAUAACUUAGAACCCCGAUAGCGAAGGCAGCUUACCAGACUGUUACUGACGCUGAAGCACGAGAGCGUGGGUAGCGAACAGGAUUAGAUACCCUGGUAGUC
rnacentral:rRNA from 1 species